rnacentral:rRNA from 1 species
AGCAGAGAUGCUUUGGUGCCUUCGGGAACUGUGAGACAGGUGCUGCAUGGCUGUCGUCAGCUCGUGUUGUGAAAUGUUGGGUUAAGUCUCGCAACGAGCGCAACCCUUAUCCUUUGUUGCCAGCGGUCCGGCCGGGAACUCAAAGGAGACUGCCAGUGAUAAACUGGAGGAAGGUGGGGAUGACGUCAAGUCAUCAUGGCCCUUACGACCAGGGCUACACACGUGCUACAAUGGCAUAUACAAAGAGAAGCGACCUCGCGAGAGCAAGCGGACCUCAUAAAGUAUGUCGUAGUCCGGAUUGGAGUCUGCAACUCGACUCCAUG